UUAAAAAGUAUUUAUUUAUUAAAGAGAGCACAAGCAGGGGGAGGGGCAGAGAGAGAAGCAGACUCCCUGCUGAGCAGGGAGUCCUAUGUGGGGCUAGAUCUCAGGACUCUGGGAUCGUGAUGACCUGGGCUGAAGGCAGAUAGUUAGCUGACUGAGCCACCCAGGUACCCCAGGCAUUUUUUUUUUUUUUUUAAGAUUUAUUUAUUAAUUUGAGGGACACUUUCAGCUUGGGUCAUGUUCCCCUAGUCGUGGGAUCGAAGCCUGCUUCUCCCUCUCCUUGAUCAUUAGGUUGUGAACAGUUAUAAAGGGAGGAGUAACUUGCAAUGGCACCAUGCGUUCGUGCAGCACAAAUCAAAUGUAACCACCCUUAAAAAAUGCCUCAAGUCUACUUUUGUGAUUUUUGCAAGAGAUUGGAUGAAGUGUAUCUUAGUUUCUUUGAUGACAAGAUAGGAAAAUGCUCACUGAAUUUUGAGUAUCCAAAAAAGUGUUGAUGAAUGGGUUGAUAUCAAUGAGUGAAUGAAAUGGGAAAAUGAUCUAUCAUUGGUGUGAUUAUAAGAACAAAUACUCUUUGAUUAAACUAGUGAUUUCUGGCAACCCAUUCAAACUGUAUUGAGCAUGCCAUUAGUUAUGUGCCAGAUAAAGUUGUAUUUGGUUAUAGGAAUGAACAAUUCCUAGCAGUCCCUGAAUUUUAGGUUCCAAAGAACCUGAGAGAUCAGUCAUUAUAUACACUGUAUUUUGGGGUUUUGUUCAUGCAGCUUCACCAGCACCUUACAAUUUAAAAUAAUUAAUCUAAGACUUUGUUGUAUGCUUCUUCUACUCCCAGCUUUGCCAUAUCCCAUAUCUCUUUGGCACACAGCAAAAAUUGGAAUACCUCCAAAAACUGCAAGGAAAAAAAAGAAAGUUACUAUGUGCAUUGUUUUUAACCUUACUAAAAUGCUAAUUGGUAAUAAUGACACAAUUCUCUAAUAGCACAAACUUAAGUGCCUGCCUCCUGUGCACCAGUCACUAAGCUUAUCACUUUAGUCGCAUCAUUAAUCUUCAUAGUAACAUUAGGAAGUGAAUGCUUGUCUCUGUUACCUCUGUUUUACGGUGAAGCAAAGUGAACCUCAGGGAAGCGUUACAGUUUUGGAGAUCAGGCCACUAACCAGUGACAGAACUGGGAUUCCAGAGCAGCUGGUGACAGAACCAGAGCUCUUUCAGGUCUUGUGUGACUCUGAUUUCUGUAUUCUUGCUGCAGAAUCCACAUCCUGUUUGCCUUCAUUAACAUUUCUCAUGUAUUACUGCAUUCUUGACUGUUGCCUUUCUCACUACCACUCCUUUCGUCUCAUUUAUUAGCUCUCGGAGUCUCCUAACUUCUGGGCCCAUGGCUCCAGUCCUGUCCCUUCUUUCAUCCAUCCUCUACCUGACAUUUCUGAGCACCCGCUGGGCACCGAACACUGAGUUAGUUAUAUGCUUUGCAUAGUUUAUUUCAUUGAUUUCCUCUUGGGUCCCCUCAUUCAUCCAGAAAAGAGACCUCGGGUCAGAUAGCAAGAGAAUGUUUUAAACUGAGAGUGUUCAGGUUUUUUUUUUUGUUUUUUUUUAAACAAAGGCAAAAAAAAAAAAAAAAAAGGCUCAAAAUGAAGGCCUGAAUUCUUCUAAGUAAAAAGGCAGUACGAGCCCCUCUUGAAAUUACUGGAUCUGUACUGCUUCAGUCUGUUCUACUAGCUCCCCGCCUAGGCACCCAGUUCAGUAAAAGCCCAGCCCCCUGGUGCCGCAGUGGGUCACAGAGCUUGCCAUAGAGUUGUGCUAGUAGGAUGUGGGUGCACACACUGUAGGCACUGUGUGUGCCUUGUCACACCUCUUGUUGUUCCUUUCCCCCAUCUUCAUGUAAGUCUUCCAGAACAUUUCACUCUAAUAGGGUGAAUAGGGCCCCAGUUUGUCUCAGCAUGGGUGUACUGAGCCCCAUUCCUCUUGGAAGUGGUCAGCUAGAAUAGUCACUAUAGAAUGAUGGCUGUGACCAGAACCAGAUGUCAUACAGCUCCUCAGGCUUCUCUUGGUGAUGUCUUGACUUUGAGGACCAUCGGGUAUAUGUUUGGCCUGCAGGUGAAUAUCUUAGUAAUACUUAAUAGGAAUCUGAAUACCAAAAAUACCAAAAGAAUACCAAAAAUCUUUAUCCAACAUCUUGACCUUUAGUGAGUUGGGUGCCUUGACUGGGAGUUAAAAUACCAGAGCGAUCUAGUACCCACAUCCAACAAUAUCCAGAAGAGUUUUCUUGCCUUUUAACUGAAAAUAGCUCAGUUCCAUUCCCCUAGGCCCCUGCACUCAUUUUGAGCUUUCUUCUCUUCUUUUUUCUUUUUUUUCCCUUUUUUAAAGAAAAGUGGAUAUGCACUUUCAGUUUAACAGAUUUAUCUGAUCUUUGACCAAGACUCUCUUCUCUAGAUGAAUGAGAGGAUCCCACAAGCAGUCAGUGGAACCACAUAGGCAAAGCAUGUAGCUCAGUGCUUGGCAGGUAGUGGGUUGUGUUCAUUUUUGAUUGUAGCUAGAACAUGGCCAUAAGCUUCGUGGCUUAAACCACACAGAGCUUUUUUUAUCUGACAGUUCUGGAGGUCAGAAGUCCUAGAAUACAGGGUGUCAACAGGGCUGUGUUCUUUCUGGAAGCUUUAAGGGAGAAUCUGUUUCCUUGCCCUUUCCAGUUUCUGGAGGCUGCCUGCAUUCCUUGGCUCAUGGUCCUCUCUCCAUGUUCAAAGCCAGCAGUGUAGCAUUUUCAAAUGUCUCUUUCUCUCUGGCCUCUGCUUUUGUCCUCAUGUCUCCUCUAGCUCUGACUCUCCUGCUUCCCUCUUUUUAUAAAUUGUUUUUAUUGAGAUGAAAUUCACCAUUUUAAUCAUUUUAAAGUGUACAGUUCAGUGGUUUUAAUAUAUUCACAAUUUGUACCUCCAUCACCACUGUCUUAUAUCAGAGUCACCUUCUUCUUAUAAGGACUUCUGUGAUUACAUGGGGCCUCACCAGUAAUCUAGAAUAAUCCUCCUAAUCUCACAGUGCUUAGCUUAAUCCCAUCUGCAAAGUCCCAUUUGCCAUAUAGGGUAACACAUUCCCAGGGCCUGGGCAUUAGGAUGUGGAUACUUUUGUGGGGCUGUUAUUCAGCCUGCCAUAGAGGUCCUUAGCAAACGAUAGUGUCUCUUGAACUGACCUUCUCAAUUUGGACACUAAGCUUUUGUGCUACAACUUUCUAGAGUCUUCAUCAGAAUCCUCUGAGCAUCAAUGAAAUAUACUGUUCUUAGGAAAUGUAAGUACAAUAGCUCUGGUAAUAACUACUGUUUAUUGGGUACCCAGCAUGCACUGGGUCAGUUAGGAGGACUUUUGGAUGCAUUGCCAUUUAGUUUUUCUUGAGGUUGAGUUGCUAUUUCUGCCAGUACUCACCCUUAUAAGACCAGAAGUAUGAAAUUUAGCCUUUCCCCUUGAAGAGAUGUGGUAUAAUAGAGCAGGCAAUGACUUCUGACUGAUCAUCCACGGACUCUACACUUUCUUUGAAUUGAAGAGAUCAGAGAAAUUGCGAGUGUUUCUUACAGAAUUAAAACAUAUCACAUGACCCAGCAUUUCCAUUUCUAGGUACAUAAACUGGAAAGCAGUGAAAGCGUAUGUCCAUGCAAAGACCUGUGCUCGAAUGUUCAGAGCAACAUUAUUCACAGUAGCCCCCAACCGGAAAUAGCCCAAAUGGCCAUCAGCUGGUGAUUGGAUAAACCAGUUGUGGCAUAUCCAAAUAAUGGAAUACUACUCAGCAAUUAAUGAGAAACAGGCUGCUGAUGGUAAUGUGAGCGAGUCUCAAAAUACGGGCGUAGGUCGAAGAAACAAAUACAGAAGCUGUAUGAUGAUGUGAAUGUCCUCGACACUACCGAACUGUCCAGUUAAAAAUGGUUAAAUGGCAAAUUUCUUAGUAUGUAUGUUUUACCACUUUUUUUUUUU